UACGGAGGGUGCAAACGUUGCUCGGAAUCAUUGGGCGUAAAGCGCACGUAGGUGGCUUGUUAAGUCGGGUGUGAAAUCCCUGGGCUCAACCCAGGAAGUGCACUCGAAACUGGCGAGCUUGAGUACUGAAGAGGGUCGCGGAAUUCCCGGUGUAGAGGUGAAAUUCGUAGAUAUCGGGAGGAACACCAGUGGCGAAGGCGACUUACUGGACACAUAUUGACGCUGAGGUGCGAAAGCGUGGGGAGCAAACAGG
rnacentral:rRNA from 1 species